GUGCAUCUCCUGGAUUCUGUAGUUUUCAUUACUGAGCCACGAUGAAGAAAUCCAUUUUCUUCUAACUGAUCUCCGCAAAGAGCUCUCACACAGAACUGAAGUGAGCCCUGCAUUUGCUUGUACUUUCUGAGACUCGUAUGGUCAAAUGUGUAAUUAAAGAGGUUUGCCCUCCAGAGAAGUAAAUUGACUCAAAACAGAUCAACUGAAAACAGAUGCAUUGAAAUGUUGCUGCUGCUUGCCUCGCUGAAGGAAGUCUCUCAGAGGAAAGGCGUGGGUUGUAUCAACUGGAAGGAGAAUAUCAAACUCCAUCUGCCCCAGCUGUGAUAACCGUCUUGCAGCCAAUUGUGGCACAGAACAAGAGUUAGGGACUGAGACCCUAAGGAACAUAUUUGAAAUGCUGCCAAUUUAGCCAGUUUCCUCCUACUCCUGAAUUAAGCUGCAAACUUGUCAAUGAAAAAGCUGGAUAGUAUGGAAGCCCAGUAAAAUGUGAGCUGGAAAAGUAGUGUUACCAUGGCUUAUCAGAAAUCGAAGAGUACGUCCCAUUGAUCUAUCAUAAAGGUCAUUUAAGAGUACUUCCUUUCUUUCAGAUGGGAAAAGGAGGCUUAAAAAAAGUCAAACUCAGGCACCCAAGGCCUAUUGCAGCCACGUUGCCCUUGCCUCAGGGAUGAGCUGUCUGUGGACAGCUGGCCCCUAGCUUUACAUCUUAAAAACAGUGGAAACUACGCCUACAAUUUUACUUUACUUUAGUCCUGCGGCUUCAUUUAAAUGUAUAUGAGAUCUAAAUACAAUCUUCCACUGUGAGCUUUGUAGCAUGGAUGCUCUGUAUGGCUUCUUUAUGUCAUGUUAGUACAAAGUGACAGUAAUCCAUGACUGAAUACUCUUGAUAAAGACUCAUGAAAUAGGAGACAAAAGUUCCUGGUAAAGUAUUACCUCUUGUUCUAUGUGCAACAAUUUUAUCUGAUCUUCUAACUCAUGCUUCAUGAGCAAUAAAAUUUCUGGAGGUCAGUUUGGAGCCAAGUGCAGCAAAUGAUUAUCUGUGGCUGUUCCUUCUACUGGUGCCUGUGGACUUCAAAGAAAAAAAAAAAAUCAAGGCCUGGAUUCCUGAAGAAGUGCUGAGAGGGAGCCUUUCAGAUGGACAUGGAACAAAGUGGAUAUGACACGGCCUGGGAAGAGCAAGACAGAGCUUAUGUUGAUCAAGAAGAGAAGACACUUUGCCUAUUGGUAUCUUCUGUAAGUCUCUUGCACCACCAAAUUUUGAGGGAGCUGGAGCAAGAAAAGCAACAGAAAAUGUAAUUCUGCAGCAUUGCUGUAAAGAAUAAGUUGACACUUCGCUGAACAUGAGACAGCAGUGUGCUCAGGUGGCCAAGAAGGCCACUGGCACCCUGGCUUCUAUCAGAAAUACUGUUGCCAGCAGGAGCAGGGAGGUGAUCAUCCCUUUAUACUCAGCACUGGUGAGGCUGCACCUCAAGUACUGUGUACAGUUUUGGGCCCUUCACUACAAGAAAGAUAUCAAGGCCCUGAAGUGUGUUCAGAGAAGGGCAACAAAACUGUGAGGGGUCUGGAGCACAAAUCUUAUGAGGAUUUGGUGGGGGAAUUGAGAUUGUUCAGUCUAGAGAAGAGGAGGCUCAGGGGAGACCUCAUUGCUCUCUACAACAAAAAGGAGAUUAUGGUGAGGAUCAACCUCUUCUCCCAUGAAACUAGUGAUAGGACUAGAGGGAAUGGCCUCAAGCUGCUCCAGGGAAGGUUCAGGUUGGAAGUUAGGAAAAAUUUCUUCAACGAAAAGUGUGGUCAGACACUGGAAUGGGCUGCGCAGGGAGGUGAUUAAGUCACCAUCUUUGCAGGUGAUCAAGAGACAUUUAGGUGUUGUGCUAAGGCACAUGAUUUAGUGGGGGAGUAUUGGCGAUAGGUUGAUGGUUGGACUGGAUGAUCUUGGAGGUUUUUUCCUACCUUGAUGAUUCUGUGAUUCUAAGAACAAUCAUUGCUAAAACUGGUAGAUCUUUUACCGAGUAACUUCAGAAGCUUGAGUUACAAUUUCAGUUAGUUUAUUUUGGCUAUCAUUUAGCUAAUUAAGGAAUCCAAACAAUGUCAAGUGCUGAUCAAUCACGGAGCUAAACACAAUUCCUGUCCUUCAGAACUUGCUGCUUAACAAACAUACAUAUUCAACAGGUGAGCCAAAAUAAGGUGCAUCUGGAUCCAAAUCAUACCUGGUGUUAUUUAGUUAGUUGUAAUAAAGCCUGUUAUUACUGAGAACAGAGAUGUUGUUUUUGCAGAGCUGCACAAAGGUUGUUGUUGAAAGUCAUUCUGUUUUUGCUCAGGCAUUGCAGCUCAUCUGGAAUUUUGAUUGCUGGAUCUCUGGCUAGUAGAGUAAUGUAUAUAAAAUGCAGUGCUGCAGUGUCAAAUGUUGUGAGGCACAUUAAAGAAUCCAGAAAACUUGGGGCUCAGAAUUUCCUUUGUGUAUGUGUGGUUGAUAAGUAUUCUCUUUUAAUGUACUGUAUUUCUUUAAUUGUAUCUUUGCAUUACUACACAUACGUGACACUGUAGCUGAAUUAAUUUUGAAAUGUUUAAUGUAACAAAUAACUCAAAUACAUGCACUGAUUCAUAACACACAGCCGUCUCCUACAUAUGUAUGAAAAAAAGAAUAUUCAAAAAGCCAAAUAUCCUCAUGUCUGUUCCGUUACUUCUCUUUACUGUAUAAAGUUCUACACAAAUUUAUUCAGAUUAUGACAUUCUAAGGCAUUGGAUUGUGUUUCUUUUAUAGAUAAGCAACACAAAAGUAGUAAUAACAACAAUUAUGGUUAGAAUAUUAGUACAUUUUAGUGAGUUACCCACAUAUCCAAAUAGCAUAUAGUUAAGGAAUUCAUAAUAUUAUCAGCAGAGAAAAGCAUAAUGCCUUCAGUUAUUAGGAAUUUUGUAGUAUGGAAAUGAGUCGUUUUAUCUAAAGGAACUGGCAGAAAUAUACUCGAUUUUUAAAACUAGUCUUACUUUUAAGAGGUUAAGUGUGUGUAUGUCAUUGUUACCUGUGGUAAGAGAGUUUUUAAUGUUUGUAAUGUGUUUGAUUUGGAAAGACUACAGAGGUAAUGCAUGAAUGUUUCUAGAAGAAGUACAAAUGACCUCUAUGUGCAACCUCAACUUUCUUCUUGAGCAAGCUGUGAUGGUAGAUUGAAUGCUUGCUUAACACUAUCAGAAACCUGAAUGAAAUAAUGCUUUAUCACCAGCAGCAGACAUGCAAAGGUUUUUCAGAUGCUAUGCUUGUCUAGUAUAUAAAAAAUAAAAUAAAAGAAAAC
ensembl:lncRNA